rnacentral:rRNA from 1 species
CCUACGGGAGGCAGCAGUGGGGAAUUUUGGACAAUGGGCGCAAGCCUGAUCCAGCCAUGCCGCGUGUGGGAAGAAGGCCUUCGGGUUGUAAACCACUUUUGUCAGGGAAGAAACGGCUUUUUCUAAUACAGAGAGCUAAUGACGGUACCUGAAGAAUAAGCACCGGCUAACUACGUGCCAGCAGCCGCGGUAAUACGUAGGGUGCAAGCGUUAAUCGGAAUUACUGGGCGUAAAGCGUGCGCAGGCGGCUUUGCAAGACAGAUGUGAAAUCCCCGGGCUCAACCUGGGAACUGCAUUUGUGACUGCAUGGCUAGAGUACGGUAGAGGGGGAUGGAAUUCCGCGUGUAGCAGUGAAAUGCGUAGAUAUGCGGAGGAACACCGAUGGCGAAGGCAAUCCCCUGGACCUGUACUGACGCUCAUGCACGAAAGCGUGGGGAGCAAACAGGAUUAGAUACCCUGGUAGUCCACGCCCUAAACGAUGUCAACUGGUUGUUGGACGGCUUGCUGUUCAGUAACGAAGCUAACGCGUGAAGUUGACCGCCUGGGGAGUACGGCCGCAAAGGUUGAAACUUAAAGGAAUUGACGG